UCGAGCGGACAGAUGGGAGCUUGCUCCCUGAUGUUAGCGGCGGACGGGUGAGUAACACGUGGGUAACCUGCCUGUAAGGCUGGGAUAACUCCGGGAAACCGGGGCUAAUACCGGAUGCUUGAUUGAACCGCAUGGUUCAAUUAUAAAAGGUGGCUUUUAGCUACCACUUACAGAUGGACCCGCGGCGCAUUAGCUAGUUGGUGAGGUAACGGCUCACCAAGGCAACGAUGCGUAGCCGACCUGAGAGGGUGAUCGGCCACACUGGGACUGAGACACGGCCCAGACUCCUACGGGAGGCAGCAGUAGGGAAUCUUCCGCAAUGGACGAAAGUCUGACGGAGCAACGCCGCGUGAGUGAUGAAGGUUUUCGGAUCGUAAAACUCUGUUGUUAGGGAAGAACAAGUACCGUUCGAAUAGGGCGGUACCUUGACGGUACCUAACCAGAAAGCCACGGCUAACUACGUGCCAGCAGCCGCGGUAAUACGUAGGUGGCAAGCGUUGUCCGGAAUUAUUGGGCGUAAAGCGCGCGCAGGCGGUUUCUUAAGUCUGAUGUGAAAGCCCCCGGCUCAACCGGGGAGGGUCAUUGGAAACUGGGGAACUUGAGUGCAGAAGAGGAGAGUGGAAUUCCACGUGUAGCGGUGAAAUGCGUAGAGAUGUGGAGGAACACCAGUGGCGAAGGCGACUCUCUGGUCUGUAACUGACGCUGAGGCGCGAAAGCGUGGGGAGCGAACAGGAUUAGAUACCCUGGUAGUCCACGCCGUAAACGAUGAGUGCUAAGUGUUAGAGGGUUUCCGCCCUUU
rnacentral:rRNA from 1 species